rnacentral:rRNA from 1 species
AAGCUUAGUGGCGGACGGGUGAGUAACGCGUGGGUAACCUGCCCUGUACUGGGGGAUAACAGUUAGAAAUGACUGCUAAUACCGCAUAAGCCUACGGAGUUGCAUGACUCAGCAGGAAAAAUUCCGGUGGUACAGGAUGGGCCCGCGUCUGAUUAGCUAGUUGGUGAGGUAAUGGCUCACCAAGGCGACGAUCAGUAGCCGGCUUGAGAGAGUGAACGGCCACAUUGGGACUGAGACACGGCCCAAACUCC